CCUUCUGCCAUAAAAAAAAUCUCUCUCCUUCUUCUCCAUCCCGAUCUAGAUCCCGCCGCCCAAAUCCUCUCCCCUCCCCCCUCCAUGGCGAGCCAGCUCCCCCUUUCCCAGCGAGCCGCGCCGCUAAAACCCUCUCCCGCCCCCAUCGUGGUGCUCCCCAAAGGGCUACCUCCAUCUUAUGCUGCACAAAUACCAGCGAGAUACUGGCGAACCAUCUCCCGCCCCCAUCGUGGUGCUCCCCAAGCCAUGAUCCUCUCCCCUCUUUGCCGUGGUGUAAGUGGUGCGGGGAGGCCCGUGUGCCGUCGAGGGAGAUCUUGGCCGUAAGGGAGUCUGACAUGGACUUUACUGCAAGCAAUGGGCCUUGGAGAUUCCGUCAUGCAUUAUUUAACAAGCUCAGACCUUGCGUCAAUGACAACUGAGAAGGAAGUGUCAGACUUAUCAAAAGGAAACAAUUUAUUCUUUCUUGGCCUUUAGUUUGCAAAUACACUAUUGUUGAGAUACAGAAUGCACGUCAACUGCACAACAAAUUAUCAUGGCUUUCAAUUUUCCAAUAUUUCCACAUAAUUUUGUUUGUAUAAUUUAGUUUGCUUUCCCUUUUCAAAUCUUGCACGUAAUUUUGUUGUCUAACAGAUGGGCCAUGAGUUUGGACUUCACAGUGGCCGCUGCUCAUUCCGCCACCGCGCUGCGUGCCCUCACUGCCGACUGCACCCAGUCCGCCUCCGUUGUGUCCUGCGCUGCGUCGGCAUCCCAUUUCCCGCAGGACCAUGGCCCCGUGGCGUCGACGUCGUCGACCACAGCAAUGCCGACGCUGCCCGGGAUGUGUACUGGGCUGAGGCUCUGUGAUACGAGUAGAUCAUCCAAGAGGAUUCGCACUUGCGCAUAAGUGUUCACAAGUAUUCCCUCCUAAAGAAAUAUAAGAGCGUUUAGAUUACUAAAGUAGUGAUAUAAAUGCUCUUGUAUUUCUUUAAUGAGAGUACUACUAGUAUGAUUUAGGUUGUUGUUGCUGCUCCUUCGAGUUGUGAUAUUUCUGGCGUGAUCUCCAUCCCUGACCAGGAAUGUACAUUUGAAUUUCUGAUUUGAGAUGGAUCAUGGAAUUUAGC